CCCUAGUCGGUUUUCUCCCUCUCCCUUGGUGUGCAUAGAAGCUAGUGGAACUCUUGGAGAAUUGGUGCAGAAGUUGAAGAUUUGAGGCUGAAGUUGGUUAGGGAAUAGCUCAGGGAUCAAAAUCACUUAUGAGGGUUACCGAUAAUGCUCGGGGUUGAGAAUCGUGCUCGAGACCACUCUACACUUGCAGCUCGGGACUCGAGGUAAGGGAAAGGGAAAGCUAGACCAGCCGUGAGUUGGAGAGCUUCAGGGGCGGGGUGUACAUAUGCAAUCUACUCGACCGCCACAGCCGGGAUAGCUUGGGAGGAACUAGGGUUAAACCCUAUUUUGCUGCUUAUGACGGCUAAUUUGUAUUUCAUUUGUCUUUUAUCAAUCUGUAACCAAUUUUUGGGAUCCCGUGUAUAAACUUAAUAUCUUUAAUGAAAAACAAUCACUUUGUUGACCAAACUU